GGGAGCAGCCGAGGCCCUGCGGAAACACGAGAGACAGCGAGGCGCAGGGUGUCUGUGCCGGGGCACGGAGCGCGGCCGGAGCCGGGGAGCGGAGCACCGAGAGCCCCGUGGGAGGCAGCCCCGGUGUCCCGGCAGCCGCUGGCCCGGGGGACGGGAGCCGCGCUCCCCGGCAGGACGGUGCAAACCCAGACCCACUCAUCAUGUCUUCAGAACAGCCUCAAGAUGGGGAAGAAACUCUGCUCUGAGCUUUUUCUGCAGCUCCUCAGUGCUGUGUCCAUGCACUCAGCCGGCUGUGGCUUUGUGCUGGUUGAGAUUUCGCUCCUCUGUUUACUCUGAGUACCACAACCUGUCACGUUUCACGGGAGCAGCUCCUCAGCGUGCAGCAGACAGACAAGCUUGUGUUUGCCAGCCCAGGCACCACCUGCUCCUGCAGGCAGGCAGAGCUUUUAUCCUGGAAUCUUCCCCACCCCAUGUCAGAGGAGGGGAGCUCCUGCAUUGCACAGAGCCCCCUGGGCCAGGAGGCGUGUGGGGGGCUUCCCUCUCCUUGGGGAUCCAGCCUUGCUGCUGACCACACUUCAGGGCAUUGUCAGCACGUGGAAAUGUUGCUGAAAGUUGCCACAUCAGAACAAUUGUAAUAAGUAUUUGUAAAUGCAUACAGCCUGUCCUGCUUUUGGUGGAGUCCUUCAGGGGUGGUCCAUGGAACUUCAGCUGAGGUUGCCAGGAGGGUGGUGAGUUUAGACCUGGUGCUGGCUGCCCAUCUCUGCUGCACCUCUAGCAAAAAGGGGCCCCUAGGACCCUUCUGGGCUGGGCAUCUGGGGCUGGGUGUGCAGCAGCCUCUAGGCACUCUAAGUUUGGUGGGUGCAGCAGACUCAGCCCCACACAGUGGGGGACUCUAACUUCAUUUUCAAGUAGGGAAAAGACACUGGAAUGAGCAGGACUUUGAGUGGAUUGGUGCUGUGAGUCAUUUCAGAUCACUAUACACGGAACUGGAAAUUCAAAUGUGAUCACAGGUGCUGUGUGGUUGCUCCUGGAGACGUUCCUGUACUAGAGAUGUUUGCAUUUGUACAUUCAGUCUGCAAUAUUCGUGCUACAAACUGUCUCAGAGGGUUGUGUUUUCUGUGUCCAUACCCACAUGUUCACUCAGGCCUAUUAAAUACU